CAAUAGCGUAUAUUUAAGUUGUUGCAGUUAAAAAGCUCGUAGUUGGAUUUCGGGUUGGCUUCAGCGGUCUCGCUUUGCGUUCGUACUGCCGCAGCCUUCCUUCUUGCUGGGGACGGUCCUCCGGGCUUCAUUGCUUGGGGUCUGGAAUCAGCGACGUUACUUUGAGUAAAUUAGAGUGUUCAAAGCAAGCCUACGCUCUGAAUAUAAUAGCAUGGGAUAACACGACAGGACUCUGGCCUAUCGUGUUGGUCUGUAGGACCAGAGUAAUGAUUAAGAGGGACAGUCGGGGGCAUUCGUAUUCCGUUGUCAGAGGUGAAAUUCUUGGAUUUACGGAAGACGAACAUCUGCGAAAGCAUUUGCCAAGGAUGUUUUCAUUGA
rnacentral:rRNA from 1 species